rnacentral:rRNA from 1 species
AACGAACGCUGGCGGCAUGCCUAACACAUGCAAGUCGAACGAAGGCUUCGGCCUUAGUGGCGCACGGGUGCGUAACGCGUGGGAAUCUGCCCUUGGGUUCGGAAUAACUCAGAGAAAUUUGAGCUAAUACCGGAUGAUGACGUAAGUCCAAAGAUUUAUCGCCCAAGGAUGAGCCCGCGUAAGAUUAGCUAGUUGGUGGGGUAAAGGCCUACCAAGGCGACGAUCUUUAGCUGGUCUGAGAGGAUGAUCAGCCACACUGGGACUGAGACACGGCCCAGACUCCUACGGGAGGCAGCAGUGGGGAAUAUUGGACAAUGGGCGAAAGCCUGAUCCAGCAAUGCCGCGUGAGUGAUGAAGGCCUUAGGGUUGUAAAGCUCUUUUACCAGGGACGAUAAUGACAGUACCUGGAGAAUAAGCUCCGGCUAACUCCGUG